CCAAAACAGUUGUUAAGACUUAUGUCUUUUAUUAAAACAAGGCUCAAGCCAAAACUAAUCCUCGGGGAUACCUUGGCCGAGGCAUCUAACCGAGUCCGCCAAGGGUGUCAAAAUAUUCACACGUGAAACACAUUUUUAUUUUUAAAAUCAGCCGUUCCCUGGCAUUGACCGAGUUACACAUUCACGUGGGGGUUCGACGUGAAGUGAACUCUAAUACUACCCCGGGAGUUACCCUUCUCGCCUCUACAACCGGAGUAACUAUAUAACUGGGUUUACCGUGCCUCUCUAAUAGGCAGUCCACGGAAACCAGUCACUGC
rnacentral:lncRNA from 1 species